AGCAGGAGGGGUGCUCUAGGAGGCUGAGGCAGGCAAGGCCCCAUAGCCCAGCUCCCUAGCUGGCCAGGAGGGGCUCACUAGCUCUGGGAGGAGGGGUGUGAUUCCUCAGCUGGAGCAGACUGAGAACAGGUGAGGGUCACUUGCCUCAUCAAGCCCUGGUGCUGCAAUCAGCAGGCAAAACAGCAAAGGGAAGCAAAGCUAAAGGGCUGUGUUUGCUCAACUGCCCACAUCGACAGACUUUGAUUUGGCUGUUCCUGGACUGUGCUUCAGGUUUGACUCUGCACUGUAUCCUGACUGCUGGAUUUCAGAGCUGGCUACUUGGAUUGACCCUGGACUGCAUUUCCUCACCUUUGGACUUCGCUUGUGUGGAUUGGACCCACCCCCUACCGAAUUUGAAUUUUGGACUUGACUUGCUGCAAGAACCAUCCUUCAGGCAGUAAAGCGCCAAGCAACGAUUAAAGAUUUGCUGCAGUCGCGAAGUCUGGCUGGACGGAGUGCCCCCAACAGUUCAACGCCUCCACUGAACUGUUUAACAAACACGGCACAUCGAAAAUACUGAGAGGGUAUGCUAGGAUAACUAUGCUAGGGCUGAAUUAACAACCACAACAACCACAAUAACCACCUCACCCUGGCAAAUCAUUACUUUGGCUGCAUUGCAAAAUUUGGAGAAGGGCAAAAUUUGAAGGGAGGUUAUGUGUUUCAGUUCACACCUCAUUUCAGAAACUCAAAUUAGGAAACCUGGCUAGCUGUGAAACCUGUGACCUCUUUAGCAACGUAGCAUCACCCUGUCACCGCCAUGGAUAUGAAUACAUAUUACAAUUCACAGAGGAGAUGAAGCUACAGUACUAUCCAAUUCUUGGUUCGGGCUGGGUCAGCUGGCAAGUCUCCAGUUCCUGAAUCAAGCUUGGAAUAUGGGUGUAGGUGGAAUUUUGGUUCAGGCAUUCCAUUCCAGCCUCUUGCUGGAAGGCCAGAAGACCUGCAGAGUCGUGCUAGGAUUAUGGC